GAAAAAUACAGUACCAUUUAUAAAAAAUAUACAAAUAAACAAAUUCCCCACAUGUUUUUGAAAAGGUUUUUUUUUUUUAGUGGAGUGUUAAAUUAAUGCAGUUUUUAUAAAUUAUGUUGCGCUUAAAUAAUGCAAGACUUUUUUUUAAAAGUAAAAUUCGCUUGAGUGGUGGGAAACAACAUCCCAAAUGGACAGUAAAGAAUAAAGAGAAAUAUAAUGUAUAUACAUAUGACAGUUCUUACUAUGGAGAAAACUUUAAAUAUAAUAAUUUCAUAUUACAUAUAAGAUCAUAUAAAUAUUACAUUGAUUAUAUAGUAGAAAAUAUAUCCAGAACUUUAAAAAAUACAGGCAAAUGUAUUUAUAAUCCAAUAAAAACAUUUAUUUUAAAACACAAUCCAGAUGUUCGUUAUCAGUUAGUAGCACUCAUGGCUUUUUUAGGAACCACUUCAGUUAUAACUUGUUAUCAUAAUAAGAUUUAUCAAAACAUUAUUGAUAUUACUAAUAUGUUAGAAUUGGGAUUAGUAGAUGAUAUGAAAGACAAUAAUUUUUUUGAUACACAGAGUGAAUUCCAAAAUAAAAAUAUUGAAGAUUAUAGUCAAGACCAUGAAAGACUUACACAGUUAUGGGAAAAGGCGUUAAAAGAAGCAACAGAAAAAAAUAGUUUUGAAGAAUUGUGCAAUUUUUUAAUUAUAAAAGAUGAUGAACCUAUUGUUAAUUAUAAACCAAAACAUACAUGGAGAUAUAACAUGAUACCUUACGGAGCAGAUAAUCCGGAUACACAAACAUUCCCGAUUCCUUCAUAUGAACAACCAUUCAGAUCAUUUGCUUUAAAUUUCACAUAUAAUAAUUUAUCAGGUAAUUGGGGAGAUUAUAUUGAUAGAAAAGAUAAUAAAGGAUCAUUAUUAAGGCCAUCAAGGUAUAUGUUUACUGAUGUUAUUAUACCCGCUACAAAAUAA
rnacentral:lncRNA from 1 species